CAACAACUGUGGCAUUUUAAUCCAGAUGUUAAAAAACUGCUCUCAUCUUUCCUGGACUAUUUGUCUGUAUUCUGUUAGAAUUAUAAUUAUAUCAUAAUAAUUCACUUAGAUAUCAAAAGUAUUCCUUCUCACAUUGUUUUGUUGUGUGUCCCUUGUUUCCUUCAGUGUGUUGAGAGCAGAGAAAUCAUUUCCAUAGAGAGGAGGCUUUGCAUCAUCAGCUGAUCCUCCAGAGAACUGAGAAGGUUUAUAGUCCUGUCAGUUCAACACUGCAGGACUCACAUCUGUCAGUCAACACAGCAGAAAGCACAACCACCAUGACUCUCAUCACCAUCCUCAUCUGGACGCUGACCUGCUGCUGUUUUACAGGAUGCAGCAGUCAGGUGACUGUGACUCAACCUCCAGUAGUGACAUUUACUCCUGGAAACACUGUCACUCUGACCUGUAGGACCAACCCAGCUGUUUACAGAGAUUCUGAUGGUGAUGAUGCUAUGUCCUGGUAUCAACAGAAAUCUGGACAGACUCCAAAGCGCCUAAUAAAAUAUGCAAAAAUGCUUGAGUCAGGAACGCCAUCUCGAUUUAAUGGCAGUGGAAGCAGCUCUGACUUCUCUAUGACCAUCAGUGGAGUUCAGGCUGAAGAUGCAGCAGUUUACUACUGUCAGAGUUACCACUUCAUAAACAGUGCUAAUGUGUUCACACAGUGAUUUGUAGUCAUACAAAAACCUCCCUCAGUCACACUACAGAGACACUGAGCUGUUACAGCAGGAACUGACUUCAGCUGCUGAAAAAGAAGAGACUCUGACACAGACCACUGAACACAGAGCUGACAGUAACCUCACCAAGCACUAAAUACAGAUUUACAUCUGUAUAUAAGAUAUAUUUUGGGGAGCAUUUUUAUUUAUUAUUUUAGCUUUAGUUUUUCAGAUCAUU